UGAUAUUCCUGCCCCAAGAGCUACCCAACUAGGAAAAAGACUAGGUCCCAGACCUCUCAAACCUCUCGAUCUCUUCAUACCUUCCUAGCUAAGGCGGGCAGGAAAAAACAAAAGUUUGCUAAUAAGUGUUCUACUUUUGACUUUCUUUAUUUGUCUAUUUCUUCAUAGAUGUUGAACUUAUUGUAUUUUCUCUUCUGAUCAGGACCUGCCACCAGUAAGAAGCUUGAUUCUCCUGCCAAGGAGAUCAAUGUGGAGGAGCAGAAAGUGACAAUGAGGUUAUUUCCAAGAUCUUGGAGGAGUUAAAGGUAGUCACUACUUGAACACUCAAUUUUCCUUUAAUUUUUUGAAGUUCGUCCUUCAAACCUAACUUCAUUUGGUGUUUUCCAAGCAAGCCUCUAAGGCAGAAGAGAUUUUUCAAGAUAAACCUUCUUCACUUCUAGCCCGACCUGUGCAUGUUUCUUAUCCUUGGGGCAAGCCUUUAGAGGUAUAUUCUUCUUUUCAGAUCUUGUCACCCUCAAAUUCUUGAAGUUCAAAUUUCUAACCUAAUCUCUGGUAUUUUUAGGCAAGGGCACCCUAGCACUUGCAGCUCAGCAAGCAUCUACCCUUCCCCUUUCUCAGAUUCCUCUAGUUAUAGUAGUAACUCCCACUUCUCAAUUUAAUCCUACAGUUGAAGAGAUGCUUCAUUUUGUAGAAGAUGAUAACAAUUUUGUAAGGGUGCCUUUGUUGUACCAGACUAUCUUGGACUGGACUAGCUUUAGGGACUAAGCUGGAUUGGUUUAAACUAGACUAAGCUGGACUAAAUUAGUGAAGCGUUUGGUGCAGUGUUGGACUAAAAGACAGGAUAAUGAAGAAAAUAUUAUUCGAAUUUUGGUCUAAAAAACAUAUCUAAAUAAUGAAUUGGAUACAAAACAAAAGCAAACUGGAUGAUGUGAAAUGUUGAGCUAAUAGUAAUCGUAAAUGAAAUUGCCGAAAUUGGAAACCAAAAUAUACCCAUUUUGCUAAAAAAAUUGCAGAAAUUGCUAAACGCCCACAACACAAUAACACCAAUUUACACAAAUCAUACACCAAAUUCACAUAUAAAUUUGUUAAAAAAAAAAAAUGAUUUCCAAGACAACAUCACAAAUUCCAAUCACCAUUAGUAGAAAUUGCAAAUCUUGUGAAGGUUAGAGCAAGUACCUGAAGGAUGAUUUUGUGAAAACAUGUUCAUUUGAAUAACAUCUAUAGCAUGCAUUUAACAAUUAAAAGGCGGAAUCAUGCUUGCAUGCAUUCAAAAACAAAACAUUACCCAUGAAAUUCAAAGCCUAGUAGAUUGGUGAACCAAGACUCAACUCAAAUCAAAGUGAGUUGAGAAAUAUAUACCUUUGUAGAUUCCUCUUUGCAUAAGCAAAGGCUAAUCACCCAAAGAGAGGGCCUUCAUUCCUUGCAUCUAAAAUCUAUGGAUUUGGAUGGAAGAAUAGGUUUCUCCAAGUUCCCAAAAUUGCGAACCUCUAAGUCUCUACACCAAGGUAAGAUUGAUGAAGAAAUGAGUGACCUUGGAGGAGUGGGAUUGCUAGAUACACCCUCCAAGGGGGCCGGCCUCCUAGAGAGAAAAGGAGAGACAUGUUCUCUCCAAUUUUCUCCAAAAAGAACCCUUAAUGAAUUUUAGGCUAUAAAGUUCUUUAUAUAGUCACUUCUUUAAAUGACCUAAAGAACCAAAAAACCCUAAUUCAACACACAUGGCCGGCCACAUAAGGGAUUUGGGCUUUUGGGCCUUUGUGAAUCUUUAUUCAUUAAAUUGUCAUACAACUUAAGUCAAUGGGCUUGACGUUCGAAGCCCAUUGGGCCUUAAGGUCCAAAACUAUCCCGAGGUCUUUAACGAACUUAUUCGUUUGAUUAAUUAACAUAUUAAUUAAUCCUUGCCAUAAACAAUUAAACCAUUUAAUUAUUCUUACUCAUCUCCAUUGUUUAUUCAAUAUCCACCUUACACGGUGUACGAUCCAUUAGGUUCCUUUUAGCGAGGCAGUGGGCGAUUAGAACUCUUUCAAAUCGAUUGUGAAUUGAAACUUACUUUCAAUUCUCCCUUUAGUGUUUAUACACGUUUAGGGCUUCCACAAACCAAGAGUGACACCUAGCAGCAUAUCAUGGUUACCCAAGCUAAUCAGAAGAGGUAGAGAACCUAUUCAGUUUAGGAUUACAAAUGCAAUACGGUCUUUCUCUAAUACAAUACUCUUGACCACAUUGUUUGGUUUGAUAGUUUAUUCAUGUCUACUAUCCAAUGUGAUUCGUGUGCUUAUAUGAUUACCUUGAAUGUGAUUUGGAAUGACUUUUCUAAAUCUCAUUCAUACUCUGGCCAGAGAUUCUUAAUCAUAUCAUAGAGUAUUCUCCCCCAAACGGUUUGAAGGUUAGAGAUCCCUUGUUGCGCAUUCACUUGCUUCUAUAGCUAAGUGGCUUAACCCCAACGAUGCCGUGGACACCCGCGGAUGGGGUGACUUUGACAUAAUCAAAGAUCAAGGACUUAACCACAAGACAAACGUGAUGCCUCAGGUCAAAGGACUACUUUGCAUUAUCCCAACCAUGAGUUCUCAUGUGACAUGAAUAUGAGAACUCUUCGUUGAUCGUGUUCAGUGAACUCAUUCUCUAUUGAGCACCUAUGAUCACUCAUAUAUUUCAUGCAUUUAUACCAUCAAUUUCUAAAGUUUUUGUGAUGUUUUUAUGUUAAAAUUGUAGUAACUUACCUUACCUUGUGUUAAUGUACAGUUAAUUUUGUGUUAGCAUUGUUUUCACAGAAAUAAUGGAAUGAUGGAGGAAUAAAAGAAACAAAAGAAAUCCAUGGCAUGGCAGUCAUGGAGUGAUGUAGUGAUGGAGUGAUGGAAAAGAAUAAGAAAAUAAUUGGAUCAAAUGAUAUAAUUGGAUUUAACUUACCUUCCCUUAUUGUUUUGAAUUAGAUUUUUGUUAGUUUCCCAACCCAAUGAUAUAAUUGGAUCAAAUUUGAACCAUGAUCAUCAAGAACUUAGUUAACAUGUGUUUUGUGAAAUUCCUAAUUCUCUUGUUAGUUUUGUACAUGUUUGACCAUCUUUGAAAAACCAAAUGCACAUAGCCUUGUUAAUGUGAAACUAAAGUAUGACUUAAAGCUUCAUAUGUGAAUUUAGUGACCAUAUACAUCCUAUGUGAGUUUUUGAGCCGAUUGAAAGUGUGUGCAUUUUUCAUACACUCCUAUUCUUUCAUGUGUGAUGAACUUAUGUGAGAUACAUCUCUAGAACUUGCGUAAUGAUCUUUCGAAAUGCUUGUCAUUGAGUGCAUGAACUUGGAAAUGAUAGAGGCAUUAGGUUUACCACUAUGGCCCAAAUAACCAUGUUUCCCAAAUAAAAAUGAUAUCAUUAGAUUGCCAAUUUGAGCCGUGUAUGUUGAGCCUUUUAUUUCUUAUCACCAGAUAUGUCUACCCUUAUACCUGAAACAUUUUUCCUUACCCUUUCCAAGCAAGCUAGUGAGCAAUGUGAGAUUGUCUUAGAGGUGCUAAAAGAAUCGUUGGAAAGAUUGAGUUCUUAUAAAUCUAAAGAAAAGAAUUGCUUGCAAUGUAGCUUGGAACUUGUGUUUACCUAUUCUUUCAUUUCAAUAACCCUCUCCCUAAACCUCAUUACAUCCAAUAAAAGUCCUCUUGAUUUAAGUUUUGCAAUUAUGAUUGUGGAGAUGAGAUCUUUAUGCAAGCUUAUGGUAGAAAUUUCACAUUUGAUUCUUUGAGCGAAACACAUUUAAACUAAACACAUGUGUGAUUGAGUGCAUAUCCCGUGAGAAGGUCGCUAGUUUGCAUAUGAUGAUUUUAAAAAUAAAAACUUGAAAUUGCAUUAGCAUGGCUAUCUCACACACUACACUUCAAGGAUGAUUCAAAGAUUACUGCUAAUAUUUGAAUAAGGAAGAUGAACUUGGAUUAGUUUGUUUGGUGCUAGCUAUGGUUCUUGAUGAUUUGUUUUCUUAAAUGAAAUUCUAUGAGGAUCACAUAAAGGGAAGCUAAUGUUUUUCAUGUUUUUACUUUUUCAUAUUUUCUUUGUUUUGCUCGAGGACUAGCAAAAAUGUAAGUUUGGGGGUAUUUGAUCACUCAUAUAUUUCAUGCAUUUAUACCAUCCAUUUCUAAAGUUUUUGUGAUGUUUUUAUGUUAAAAUUGUAGUAACUUACCUUACCUUGUGUUAAUGUACAGUUAAUUUUGUGUUAGCAUUGUUUUCACAGAAAUAAUGGAAUGAUGGAGGAAUAAAAGAAACAAAAGAAAUCCAUGGCAUGGCAGUCAUGGAGUGAUGGAGUGAUGGAGUGAUGGAAAAGAAUAAGAAAAUAAAACAGUGGGAGAGCACGGACGAAAAAAAGAAUAAAAGAAUAAGAAGCAGUGGAGGGCAGACUGAAAUAAAAUAGGCAGGGAGUGGACGAAAUUAGUUCAGAAAACAAAUGAACCACAGAUUCUCAAUCAGACAAAGAAAAAUAUUCUCACUUGUACCAAAACCUGGCACUUCACCUUGCAGGCCACUCACGGCAGACAUCACUAUGACAACCAAAAAGAAGAAAGUCACGGAGAAAAGAAAAAAAGAAAGAAAACACUGACAGAAUAAAAGGCGCGGAAGAGAGUAAGGGAGGUGGGGGGGAAUACAGGCUGCCUUUGGCAGCGUGAGAGACAGGAGGCGGAGAGAGCAGUAAGGGCAGAGGGGAGACUGACACGGAAGCAGCAGAGGCACGGCAGGCGAGAAAGGAUUGGCAGGCGCAGAUUGGCAAGGAGAGCUGACGUGAGAGACAGCAGGAGGAGGCUGCUUUGAGCAGCGUGAGAACGGGAAGAGAGAAGAGAGACUGUCAGAAGCACAGUCCACACGGGCAGAAGACCAGAGGCACGGGCGGACUGGCGAGCAGCGUGAGCCUCGGGGAGGAGAAAAACAGAAGCAGCAAGCUGCCUUCUCUCUCGGUUAAAUCUUUCCAAACUUAUAUUUUAUUUCUGUUUUAAUAAUGUGUAACUAAAUUUAUUUUGGCUAGAGGUUAAUUCAAAGCCAUGAAUAUAUUUGUAAUAUGAAUUGAUUACCUUCAGUUGUGAUUUCUGAGUUGUGAUUUAAUUUGCUUAACUGCUUGAUUGAUAACUUAUUUUUGUAUGUCGAUUAAGAAUGCAUACUUAAUUUACAUGCAUGAAUUUGAUGCUAGAAUAUAAGUGAAUUUCACCUAAUCGUUAUGAACUUAUAUUCACAAGUAGUGAAGGUUGUUAUCCACAAUCGUGUUAAGUGAAUUCUAGGCUGGAUUAACAUGCGUAUUCCAUAGUUAUGAAUGCCUAGUCAAUGUUUAUGAUUUCCGUUGAACUUAAUGAUCUUUGUUGAAUGUCUCUAUCAUGCGUAUUCCAUAGUUAGGGACUUUGAUGAGGAAUAAUUUGGUUGUAAUGCGUAUUCCAUUCAAUCCAAUGAAUCUAGGGAAAUCUAAGAGUUAAUUUAAGCGGACCUAAUUAACUUGGAACAUUGUCAUUCACAAUUUAUUGAAAGAACAACUGAAAAUCAAUUUAGGUUGCAUAUGUGUCAUGUGUGGAGAAGAACCCUCUAGCUAGUCCGUCACCUAUCCUUUCACCUUAAUUUCAUGCUUUUGUCAAUUCUGUAAUUUAUUUAAGUUUAAUUUACUUCUCGUCAAAACCAAACCCCCCCAUUAUUAAAUUAUAUUAUUUAGUUAGUUUUCAUUGUUGUUAGUCUUUUAAUUCAAUUUCCGUCCAUUUCAGUUCCUAGUGUCUAAUUUGAUUGUUUUCAUUAUUUUGAGUCAUUCUAAGUGUGUUUCGAGUUAUUAGAGUUUUUAGCCUAGUUUUGUGUCCUUGAGUCUUGUUUAAUAUUUUUAAAUUAAUUUAGAAUAGAUUAGCAAUCCCUCCUAAUCCCCGGCCUAGAACGAUACCCUACUUACAUCUAUACUACAAUUGUCAAAAAGAGGGUUUAAUUUGUGUGUCAAGUAAUUCUCGCAUCAACCUACGUACUUGUCUUGAUGUCACACACACCAAUGACACGAGACUAGUCACUCUCCCUGAGAGAAGACACAACACGUACUGAUCUUAACGGACUGUCAAUGCCCAAUUGGCAAUCCUAUGAUCAGGAACGUUUAGGAUGUGUCUACGAAAGAAUGGUCUCAUGAAUCUAACUUCUUUAGAUCGCAUUCUCCCAAUCACAUAUUCCUUGGACUUAUCGUUUAAGCAUAUAACAUUUAUAUGAGAUGGCUCAAACAAUAAUCUUUGCCCUUGAUAUUAAACUAGAUUAGUUUAACAUGUGAAAUGUCAGUAAAGUAUCAUCAUAUGAUUGGUUUUAGGGCACAUUUCCAACAGUACCAAAGAGAAAAAUUGAAAUCAAGUGGCAAGAGAAUAAAAAAUUGGGGACUUUCACAUCUGUGAAAUACAAAAUCUAUGAUUUUGUAAACAUCAUAGGCUGAGUUUAAGCGGUCGGUGGGAUGGUCUGGCGAGGUCGUCGAGCAGGAUGAGCAUGCGAGAGGAUUCUAUCAGUCAACACGAAGAGAAGUGGUGGCUGAGGCUGAAGGGGUCAAGCAGACAAGGAUGAGAGAAA
rnacentral:lncRNA from 1 species